rnacentral:rRNA from 1 species
CCCUAUUAUUUUUGACGUUAAUUUAUUUUUCCUGGGUAGUAUUAGUUAUGUUCUUGAAACCCAAAGAAUUUGGCGGUAUUUCAUUCCUUUCAGAGGAAUCUGCCCCUUAAUCGAUAAUCCACGCUGGACCUUUCUUAAUUUUUGUUUGUAUACCGCCGUUGUAAUGAGAGUCUUUUUAGUGUUGUUAAUUUUCUAGUUUCAUUAUUUUGAGUUAUUUCAGGUCAAGGUGCAAUUUGUUUUUAAGUGUGAGGUGGAUUACAAUGUUUUAGUUGGGCUGUCGGAUUGUUGGUUGAAAUUUUGACAUGAAGUUGGAUUUGGUUGUAAUUUGUUGAAGAUUGUUUGGAUGGUGUUGGUUCUGGAAUAUGCACACAUCGCCCGUCGCUCUCAUUAUUUUGUUGAGAUAAGUC